AUUGAACGCUGGCGGCAGGCCUAACACAUGCAAGUCGAGCGGAUGAAGGGAGCUUGCUCCUGGAUUCAGCGGCGGACGGGUGAGUAAUGCCUAGGAAUCUGCCUGGUAGUGGGGGAUAACGUCCGGAAACGGGCGCUAAUACCGCAUACGUCCUGAGGGAGAAAGUGGGGGAUCUUCGGACCUCACGCUAUCAGAUGAGCCUAGGUCGGAUUAGCUAGUUGGUGGGGUAAAGGCCUACCAAGGCGACGAUCGGUAACUGGUCUGAGAGGAUGAUCAGUCACACGGGAACUGGAAAACGGUCCAGACUCCUACGGGAGGCAGCAGUGGGGAAUAUUGGACAAUGGGCGAAAGCCUGAUCCAGCCAUGCCGCGUGUGUGAAGAAGGUCUUCGGAUUGUAAAGCCCUUUAAGUUGGGAGGAAGGGCAGUAAGUGAAUACCUUGCUGUUUUGACGGUACCAACAGAAUAAGCACCGGCUAACUUCGUG
rnacentral:rRNA from 1 species